GAGGAUGGCUUUUGCCCUAUGUAAAAAGUAGGGCGAAUAAGCGGGGGGCAAGUUCUGGUGUCGGCCGCCGCGGUAAUACCAGCCCCGCGAGUGGACACGACGAUUAUUGAGCCUAAAGCGUCCGUAGCCGGUUCUGCAAGUCCUCCCUUAAAUGGCACGGCUCAACCGUGCCGCGGGGGAGGAUACUGCAGAACUAGGGGGCGGGAGAAGCGGGCGGUACUCGGGAGGUAGGGGCAAAAUCCUUUAAUCUCCCGAGGACCACCAGUGGCGGAGGCGGCCCGCUAGAACGCGCCCGACGGUGAGGGACGAAAGCUGGGGGAGCAAAAGGGAUUAGAGACCCCUGUAGUCCCAGCUGUAUACUAUGCUG
rnacentral:rRNA from 1 species